AACGAACGCUGGCGGCAGGCUUAACACAUGCAAGUCGAGCGCCCCGCAAGGGGAGCGGCAGACGGGUGAGUAACGCGUGGGAACGUACCCUUUGCUACGGAAUAGCUCCGGGAAACUGGAAUUAAUACCGUAUGUGCCCUACGGGGGAAAGAUUUAUCGGCAAAGGAUCGGCCCGCGUUGGAUUAGCUAGUUGGUGGGGUAAUGGCCUACCAAGGCGACGAUCCAUAGCUGGUCUGAGAGGAUGAUCAGCCACAUUGGGACUGAGACACGGCCCAAACUCCUACGGGAGGCAGCAGUGGGGAAUAUUGGACAAUGGUCGCAAGCCUGAUCCAGCCAUGCCGCGUGAGUGAUGAAGGCCUUAGGGUUGUAAAGCUCUUUCACCGGAGAAGAUAAUGACGGUAUCCGGAGAAGAAGCCCCGGCUAACUUCUUGCCAGCCGCCGCGGUAAAAC
rnacentral:rRNA from 1 species